CUUGACCUCCUAGGAUCAAGUGAUCUUCCCACCUCAGCCACCUGAGUAGCUGGGACUACUUUUUUAAUUUUAGGCGAAGAGAAUAUGUACUUGGCUAAUUACAAAAACUUUUUUUUUUUUUUUUGUAGAGACAAGGUCUGUGUUACCCAGGUUGGUCUUGAACCCCUGAGCUCAAGAGAUCCACCUUGGCCUCCCAAAGUGAUAGGAUUACAGGCGUGAACCACCACACUCAGCCUGCAUUUCUGAAAACUGAUAGAUGGGGUGAGAAAAAUACUGAAGCCAGAACAUACAGCGUGAGCUCCAAGGAAACAUUGGUUUACUCAUCCACACUAAGUAGGAUCGUUAGUAACUGAACAUCAGAGAGAACACGACAGCCUCUGAACAAAGAGCUUAUGCUGGCGUGGGAAACAAAUGCAAAACCGUCGUGGCAAGUGGAGGACAUGAAGUCGGGGUUUCAGUGUUUUUCCCUGUUGCCUGUUACCACCCAUUACGCGGAAGUAGAUUUGGGACUCAGGUACUCUUACUAGCUUGUGUGGUGCCCUCUGCGGCCUGGUUCUGGAUAUGCAGCCCAGUUACUGAACGUCGAUUUGGGGCUCAGAUCCUGUCAUCCACGUGUGUGGUGCCCUCUGCAGUCUGGUUCUGUGCAGUUCUCUUUUCAUGACUGGUAGUCUCUGUGGCCCAGUUCUGUGGAGGUGGUUUUCCAUCUCUGAUUCUCUCAUCGGUGUGUGCUGGUCUUUGGAGUCUAAUUAAUUGGAAGUUGAUUUUGGAUAUUCUCCUCAUUCGUGUGUGGUGCUCCCAGUGGUCUGGCUUUGUGGAAGUCGAUUUUGGAUUGUGAUCCUGUCAUACAUUUGGCAUUCUGCCGUCCCCUCGUAUGAGGUAUGUUUGGCACUGUGCCUUUCUUACGCUGCAGUCUUACGAGAAAGGAGGUUCCACACUCUGAUCCUCUCAUCUGUACAUUUGGGCCUCUGCAGUGUGGCCUCAGGUGGGUUUCACAUAGGGUGUGUAAUUUGGCUCUGAAGAGGUAAGACAGACUCCUCUGUCAUCACGGCCAUGUUGCUUAAUAGCUCACAUGACAGUCUACUGGAAGUCCAAUUCUUGUAAAAGAGCGCUUGCCCGGCACUUUUUCUUGAGAGCAAGGGGACUCAAGUCAAUAAAUAAUGUGUUUAUCUUCAAAGCUCACUGUGAAAGCAAAUUUGGAAAAUGGAACUCAUUUUCUGGGUUGCAAGACCAAUGAUGAAUCACGUUGUUUGCUUCUUAUUACUGUUAGAGUUUAUGUCUCUCCUUGGGAAUAUGGCUCGGUAUUGAAAACAUUCUCAAUACCCUCAAGUUGCUUUUUUUUCGCCUAUGAGGAUAAAGGAGAAUAAAACACGAGAUAAUUGAGGGAAAGUAAGAGGGAAAAAAGAAUUUGUAUAUUGAUUUGGAGUGUCUUCAGGAA